CCUACGGGAGGCAGCAGUGAGGAAUAUUGGUCAAUGGGCGCGAGCCUGAACCAGCCAAGUCGCGUGAGGGAAGACGGCCCUACGGGUUGUAAACCUCUUUUGCCGGGGAGCAACGGGCGCCACGUGUGGCGCCACUGAGAGUACCCGGAGAAAAAGCAUCGGCUAACUCCGUGCCAGCAGCCGCGGUAAUACGGAGGAUGCGAGCGUUAUCCGGAUUUAUUGGGUUUAAAGGGGGCGCAGACGGCGAUGCAAGCCAGGAGUGAAAGCCCGGGGCCCAACCCCGGGACUGCUCUUGGAACUGCGUGGCUGGAGUGCAGGAGGGGCAGGCGGAAUUCCUGGUGUAGCGGUGAAAUGCGUAGAUAUCAGGAGGAACACCGGUGGCGAAGGCGGCCUGCUGGACUGCAACUGACGUUGAUGCUCGAAAGUGUGGGUAUCAAACAGGAUUAGAUACCCGGGUAGUC
rnacentral:rRNA from 1 species